rnacentral:lncRNA from 1 species
CCUAAUAGUGUGACUUUUUAAUUGUGUAUUUGAUAAAAACAGAUCCAUGCCAUCUCGCCGCACGUAUAAGACAGAAAGACCAGUUGGGUGGAAAACAGCUUCCAUCUCAGGCUAGGAACCCUUAGCUGUAUGGGGGAUUCCGGAACAGAAUGCUACCCAUCCCUAAUGAGGUGCUGCUGCAGCAUCCACCCGAGGAGUCCAUGACAGUCGAGGCUAAGCACUUUCUGGCUGGGUUUGCUAGGGCAUCUAUUUUGGCCUCCCCUCUGUGUCAAGGGGACAUGAAGCGCCGGGCCCUACCUGGCUGCUGGAACAU